GAGAGUAUAGUUCAGUGGUAGAAUGUGUGCUUAACCUGCACAAGGUCCUGGGUUCAAUCCCCAGUACCUUCA
rfam:Camelus ferus unplaced genomic scaffold scaffold995, whole genome shotgun sequence.